AGAGCGGACCCGGGCGGGGGUCCCGGGGGUCCCGGGGGUGGCGGUGUCGGUCCCGGAGCACAGAGCGGACCCGGGCCGUGCCCGCGCUCCCCGCACCAGCGCUCCCAGUUCGGGCCCGGCGGGCACUGGGAGCUGGCGCGGGGCUCCCUCUGGCGGCCGCAGCCAGCGCUGCCAGCGGCUCCGGCACGCGGUGCCCCGGGAGACAAAUUCUCAGGUACUGAGGUGUCCAGGUAACCAAAUUCUCAGGUGCCCAGGUAGCCAAAUUCUAAGAUGCCCAGGUAGCCAAAUUCUCAGGUACUGAGAUGCCCAGGUAGCCAAAUUUUCAGGUGCCUGGGUGCCCAGUUUCCCAGAUACUGGGGUGCCCACGUAGCCAAAUUCUCAGGUGCCCAGAUAGCCA